UACGGGGGGGGCAAGCGUUGUUCGGAAUUACUGGGCGUAAAGGGCUCGUAGGCGGCCAACUAAGUCAGACGUGAAAUCCCUCGGCUUAACCGGGGAACUGCGUCUGAUACUGGAUGGCUAGAGGUUGGGAGAGGGAUGCGGAAUUCCAGGUGUAGCGGUGAAAUGCGUAGAUAUCUGGAGGAACACCGGUGGCGAAGGCGGCAUCCUGGGCCAGUUAUGACGCUGAGGAGCGAAAGCCAGGGGAGCAAAGCGGGG
rnacentral:rRNA from 1 species